rnacentral:ribozyme from 12 species
AGAACAACGGGAACCAAAAAGAAAAAGAAAAAAAACGGUAGCGGAAAAAAUUUCCAUAAUCUGUGAUGCGUCAUUUUUCUUCCAUCCUUUCUCUUCUUCGCUUUUGU